rnacentral:lncRNA from 12 species
GAGCUAUGUAGGUGGCAUGGAAGAGGAGUGAUGCCUAGUGGGACAGACUGCAUCAGAAGCUCUUUAAACCUCAUAUGUAUUUAAAAAGGGUGAGCAAUGGAAGAAGAACGGGAAAGAGAAGAAUGGCAAACUUCACAUUAUUGUCUGGAUGCUCCUUAGAUCUAAAUAUUGGGAUUUCAAGAGACGCUUCAGAGAACUUUAAAACUUUCAAUAAUGUUUUAAAUACCUGGGGAAUAAAAACAAAAACCAAGAGUAAUAAUGUUGGAGGAAGAGGCAGUGGAAAGGAACAGAGAAUAGGAGCAAAAGGAAAAACAAAGGUGACUGGACAAAAAGAUUCAAGCAAUUUGCAUGGGAAAGUGGCAGUAGACAGAUUACCUUUAUGUUCCACUCUUGAAAUUUUGCAAAGCAUUUUAACAGAAUUCUCAAAAUGAGAAGGGAAUCCCAUCAAAGCAAGAAGGGGUGAAGUGGCUGAGAAGGGCCAGUGCCAGUGGUAUGUGACUCCAGGAUCUACUGAAAGAAGUUUGCAUUGCAGGUCCAUUUGUAGAUCUUGAUCUACACAUCAGAGACUCAAUAGUUAAUUUUACUCACUAAGAUAAAGGUCUUAUUUAUCUGAUUUUAACAGAUGUAAUAAAAUUAUUUAAAUUAAUCUUUACCA